rnacentral:rRNA from 1 species
GACGAACGCUGGCGGCGUGCCUAAUACAUGCAAGUCGAACGCAGUGGGGACGGGUGAGUAACACGUGGGUAACCUCCCAUCAGAGGGGAUAACACUUGGAAACAGGUGCUAAACCGAUACUGAUGGAUGGACCCGCGGUGCAUUAGCUAGUUGGUGAGGUCACGGGUCACCAAGGCCACGAGGCAUAGCCGACCGUAGAGGGGGAUCGGCCACACAGGGACUGAGACACGGCCCAGACUCCUACGGGAGGCAGCAGUAGGGAAGCUUCGGCAAUUGACGAAAGUCGGAAUGAGAAACGCAGUGUGAGUGAAGAAGGUUUUCGGAUCGUAAAACUCUGUUGUUAGAGAAGCGGGAUCUAACCAGAAAGCCACGGCUAACUACGUGCCAGCAGCCGCGGUAAUUC